rnacentral:lncRNA from 1 species
UUAAUUUGAAUUUUCAUUUGUAAAGCCUUUUUUUCUCACAUGAAAAUGGGAAUAGAAUUAGUUUUAUUGACAGUAAAAAGACAUUUUGAAAGCUUCCUAAAUCAUUACCUGUAUUUAGCAGGAGGAAAAAUUGUAUAUGUCCAUGUAAAAAGAAGAGUUUUAUUAUCACAUAUUUACUCAUUAUAUUUUGUGGUAAAUAAAACGGGGAAGACAUGUUUGACAAAUGAUUGACGGAACUCACUAGGUUUUUGCUUCAUCAGAACAAUAGACAGACAUAAAUAUAUAUUUUGCUUUUGUUUUCUUCUGCUAUUACUAAUGCAGACCUGUAGACAAAAUCUUCUUCCAACAAAUUAAGUACAGCCUGUUGGGAGUCUGCAUGCCAUGCUCAACUUUUUAUUUGGCAAUU